UACGUAGGGGGCAAGCGUUGUCCGGAAUCAUUGGGCGUAAAGAGCGCGUAGGCGGCCCUGUAAGUCCGCUGUGAAAGUCAAGGGCUCAACCCUUGGAUGCCGGUGGAUACUGUCGAGCUCGAGUCCGGAAGAGGAGUGUGGAAUUCCUGGUGUAGCGGUGAAAUGCGCAGAUAUCAGGAGGAACACCAAUGGCGAAGGCAGCACUCUGGGACGUGACUGACGCUGAGACGCGAAAGCGUGGGGAGCAAACAGG
rnacentral:rRNA from 1 species